GUUAUCUGUAGAUGAACGCCAGUGAAGUUGUCUCAAUUUUUUAAUUAUCGAAUGUCAUGUGUACACUAGUCUCUCGUCCUUAGUGAAUGGAAUAUUGGAUAGAAUUGAAUGUUUUAUAUGAUUUUACCUUAUAUAGAAACUAUAAACUAGAACUUUGGUUCAGACCAUUUCACUUUUAUCAACAAAAACUUGAAUGAACCUCAACUAAGACACAUGAUUUUUUUAAUUAGUUGUU
rnacentral:lncRNA from 1 species